rnacentral:tRNA from 1 species
GCGGGUGUAGCUCAAUGGCAGAGCGCGGGCCAUCCAGGCACGAGACGGGGGUUCGAUUCCCGCCCAUCCGCUCCA